UGAUCGUCGCCUCCCUGCGGCGUGGUUGGGGGACGCAGCGCUGCUCGAGGGCCCGCGCGUCCCCACUGCUGACAGGAGAGUGAAAAGGGCCGAUAGAGCGCUGCGAGAGUUCUCCCAGGGCUGCUGGUCACAGCGGGUGGCUGCAGCCGCUGUCCCCCUGUGCUGGGUGGUCAGAGGAAGUGACAGUCGCGCCUCCGUGAUCUGCCGUGGGUCUGCCCUUUGCUGUGGGCACCCCCUGCACUCCUCUCCCGCUCUGAGGCAGAUAGCGAGGGAGAAUGAAGGGCGUUAAUCUCAGGCUUGGCACCUGGCAUCCCCCGGAGGAAGGCGGGAGGUCGCUGUGGGUGCGGUAUAAUGGAGGAGAGAGCAGCAAGCUGUGCCCGCCAGCAGCCGGCUUCACCCCUCACACCAUCAGCGGUGCUGAGAGCUCUGGCGGGCAUAGCACCAAGUGCUGCCACAGGUUGGAUAUAAACACCUCAGGUUCAGAAUCGAAGCCCACAAAGCCUAUUGGAAGUGCCUCACAGAUUUAUUGGGCUUCAGUGCCGUGAUUUUUCAGGAGCGGCAUCGGAUGCCAGCCCCAGGCAGCCUGCGAAGUCUCACUCAGAUGCUUGGUCCAGAGAGAAGUGUGCUGCAUCCGUGGGCAAUACCAGCCUAAUCCCCUCCUCUGAAAUCGCUCACACAUCAAAGAGAUUUAAAAAACAUGCUCUGCAUGC
rnacentral:lncRNA from 7 species